GAUGAAGAACGCAGCGAAAUGCGAUAAGUAAUGUGAAUUGCAGAACUCAGUGAAUCAUCGAAUCUUUGAACGCACAUUGCGCCCGCCAGUAUUCUGGCGGGCAUGCCUGUCUGAGCGUCAUUUCAACCCUCAUGCCCCUAGGGCGUGGUGUUGGGGAUCGGCCAAAGCCCGCGAGGGACGGCCGGCCCCUAAAUCUAGUGGCGGACCCGUCGUGGCCUCCUCUGCGAAGUAGUGAUAUUCCGCAUCGGAGAGCGAUGAGCCCCUGCCGUUAAACCCCCAACUUUCCAAGGUUGACCUCAGAUCAGGUAGGAAUACCCGCUGAACUUAAGCAUAUCAAUAAGCGGAGGA
rnacentral:misc_RNA from 1 species